GGCGGCUAACCUCCAUUUUCUGCAAUCCCAUAUAUCUUUGAAGCGCAAGGGAGACCUUCGCCAUCAACUGUCCUCCUCCGACCUUGCCAAGUUCCUUCGUGCGCUGAUUCAUCUUCUCCUCCGUCUCCUCUUCCACCAAUCCAUUUGAGACAACUAAGGGCUUGAAGGCUCCCCCACAAACUAAGGAGCGGUGCUGCUCUUAUUAGAAGAAAAGAUUGGUCUUUUUUCUGUAAAAUGGAUGAUGGCAUAGCGACUACAUACUACAUACUACCAAGAAUAAGACCAGAAUAAGGGUCGUGAACAAAAAGGUUAAACACUGGGAAUCGCAUACAGGCACUGUGGAAACGUAUAGCGGACAUGUGAAUGUGUGAUACAAGAUCAGUCAAACUCAAUCCCCCAUUUUACACCUUGCUAAUGGUACUUGGGGUACCACUCUUUUCUUCCACGUUUUCCACCAUCUCGACCUCCAUUUUGGGAACUUGUGCAGGAUUGUUAGUCGAGUUGAGAGCCUCUUUGCAGAUGAUCUGCAGGAUGUCAUCUCUUGCCUGUGCAUCCUCAAUUGCUGUGCGAGAUUUGAAGACGGCGUCCAUCUGUUCAAGAGUACGGCCCCUGUGAUACGUAAAAAGGUUGAUGAUCAGUGGGAUGCCAUGUACUUUAGGACAGUUAGAUACUGACUUGGUUUCGGGUACGAAGACGAAGGCCCAAACACCGGCCAAGAUAGACCAAAUGGCGAAGAAGAUGAAUGCUCCGUAUCCUUUGGUACCGGAAACGAGGGGAGGAGUGAUUAGGCCCUAUCGAUUGCCAAGUUUGUUAGCAUACAAUGAUAGAUUCCAAGAAGGUGGAUGACUG
rnacentral:sRNA from 1 species